ensembl:lncRNA
GGGGCUAGAGUAGAGAUGGGGCUAGGGGCUAGAGUAGAGAUGGGGAUAGGGGCUAGAGUAGAGAUGGGGCUAGGGGCUAGAGUAGAGAUGGGGCUAGGGGCUAGAGUAGAGAUGGGGAUAGGGGCUAGAGUAGAGAUGGGGCUAGGGGGCUAGAGUAGCGAUGGGGCUAGGGGCUAGAGUAGAGAUGGGGCUAGGGGCUAGAGUAGCGAUGGGGCUAGGGGCUAGAGUAGAGAUGGGGCUAGGGGAUAGAGUAGCGAUGGGGCUAGGGGCUAGAGUAGAGAUGGGGCUAGGAGAUAGAGUAGAGAUGAUGCUAGGGGCUAGAGUAGAGAUGGGGCUAGGAGGAUAGAGUAGAGAUGGGGCUAGAGGGCUAGAGUAGAGAUGGGGCUAGGGGCUAGAGUAGAGAUGGGGCUAGAGGCUAGAGUAGAGAUGGGGCUAGAGUAGAGAUGGG